UACGAAGGGGGCUAGCGUUGUUCGGAAUUACUGGGCGUAAAGCGUACGUAGGCGGAUUGUUAAGUCAGGGGUGAAAUCCUGGAGCUCAACUCCAGAACUGCCUUUGAUACUGAGGAUCUUGAGUUCGGGAGAGGUGAGUGGAACUGCGAGUGUAGAGGUGAAAUUCGUAGAUAUUCGCAAGAACACCAGUGGCGAAGGCGGCUCACUGGCCCGAUACUGACGCUGAGGCACGAAAGCGUGGGGAGCAAACAGG
rnacentral:rRNA from 1 species